rnacentral:rRNA from 1 species
AGGGUAUAGACCCGAAACCCGGUGAUCUAGCCAUGGGCAGGUUGAAGGUUGGGUAACACUAACUGGAGGACCGAACCGACUAAUGUUGAAAAAUUAGCGGAUGACUUGUGGCUGGGGGUGAAAGGCCAAUCAAACCGGGAGAUAGCUGGUUCUCCCCGAAAGCUAUUUAGGUAGCGCCUCGUGAAUUCAUCUUCGGGGGUAGAGCACUGUUUCGGCUAGGGGGUCAUCCCGACUUACCAACCCGAUGCAAACUACGAAUACCGAAGAAUGUUAUCACGGGAGACACACGGCGGGUGCUAACGUCCGUCGUGAAGAGGGAAACAACCCAGACCGCCAGCUAAGGUCCCAAAGUCAUGGUUAAGUGGGAAACGAUGUGGGAAGGCACAGACAGCCAGGAUGUUGGCUUAGAAGCAGCCAUCAUUUAAAGAAAGCGUAAUAGCUCACUGGUCGAGUCGGCCUGCGCGGAAGAUGUAACGGGGCUAAACCAUGCACCGAAGCUGCGGCAGCGACACUAUGUGUUGUUGGGUAGGGGAGCG